UUUGGGAGGCAUAGGAAAAGAAAGAAAUGGGAGGCUGUGUUGGAUGAAAUGCUUGAUUUAGAAUUUAUACCAAAUAUUGCCUCUUAUAAUAGGCUACUUGGUGGCUUGCCGCUUGCAUAAGUGAAGAUCUUUGUGGUUACAAUUACAAGAGAGCUUCUCGGGGCAUGCGAAAGCACCAGUCUGAAAGUAUUUUGCUAGGUGGCGCUACAUGGAGAUGCCUGAUACCAGUGUACGUAGCUGCACAGAUAUAAGAUGGAAAGUGUGAAAUGAGGUAUUGUUUUGAUCAUGCACUCCUAUUGCAUACAACAUUAUUUUAUUGUAUUCUGUGCAUUAUUUUGGUCUUGUUGGAUUCACCAUAUAUGCAAAAAUUUAUCAUUGCAAUUUCGAAGCUUCCAACAUGGCAUUUCCGUUAGUCUUGAGACUAAUUUGGGGAGAAAAUGUUUAAUUGCCAUGGAUGAAUUUUGAAGGCUUGUUUGUUUGGAAGCAAGGUUUAUGAUCAGAUUUUUGUAUACCAGAGAACACUCAAGUCUCCCAACUGCCCGCCUGCCGAGGUGAGCUCCGAAUGCCUGCCCUCCGCCUCUGAUCCGUGUUGCGGCUUCGCUCCUGCGCAUGCGCGUUUUGGCACUCGGUUUCCGACCAGGGAUUCAUCACUGCGCCUUCGUUUGUGUCGGGGUUGUGCCGUAGCGAUGGGUCUCUGGUGGCGAACUACAGCUCCGCGCUGCGUGGCUCUGGUUCUGGUCUCAGGGAGUUACUUGGGAGGGGUUGGUCUUCACCAGUUUUCUUUAAUCUCUUGUUUCAGUUAUAGGUGUACACAUCAACUGAUUUUUCAUUUGCUUCUGUUACUAAACUUAUUUCACAAUCAGCCUUGUAGCACCUUGAGAUUCUGUUGUUUAUUUUUUGUAUUAGAUAUUCUUCUGAGUACUGGAAUAAGGUCAAUUUAUCAUUUUUGGCAGCAAGUUGGUUUUUAUACUUGGAUCCAGCCUAUAUUCUUGGCCUAUUUUGCUCUUUUUUUCUCUACCUUAAUAAUACAACGGAGUACAGCCUCUAUACUUGGAUCCAGCCUCUAUUCUCCUGCAUGAUUCGAGAAGGAGCAGGAGCAUGACCCAAAACUGUAUUUUAGUCUUUCACUGAUAUAUGCAUGAACUGAAUUCUAGAAUGCUAAGUGUAAGUUUUGAAUAAUUUUGUUUCCUUGUCAUCUGGAACCACAAUGCAUUGAACUUAAAGCACAGUAUAGAAAAGAAGGCACAAUAUGCCUUUGGAUUUUCUUCAUUCCAAUUGACACCAGAGAGUAGAAAGGAUGGAGCCCUAUGAUACACAGCUGGGGCUCAUGGCCUCUGGGCCUUUUCUAGGGUGUGUACAUGCCUUAUGGUUGUCUCCUUUAUCUUUGUAUCCAAUGUUCUAGAUGAUAGACUACCUGGAAUAAGGCAUACUACGUUAAACCGUAUGAAACCUGAUUUUUUUUGCAUGUUUAGUCUAAUGAACAGUCAUGUACCUGGUGUUAGAACUUCGCAAUACAAAUAAAAGAGGGGGGGCUCUUCAGUCAGGUCAACAGCUGGCAACACUUACCACAGCACAAAACUUUUGCCUGACUGUUUCUACAGAAAUAGGUUCUGUCAUACAAGCAACUUUGGUCUAAAAGUGGGCCAAUUUCCUGGUCCAUUUUCUACAAAGGAAAAUUAAACUCAUGAAGCUCCAGUAGAAAAUGACAUAAUGAAGCCAUAAACUUGGAGCUGCAAGAGCAUUCAGAUGACAGCUACAACUACAACUAAUUGCUUACAAUUCACGAUAGUACUAAUAUCGCUAACAUUUGAAACUUAACUAUCUUAGUUGUAAUCAUGUGCUUCAACUGUAGAGGGUUAAUCAAUUUAGUGGAAGUGGAUAUUGAAUAUGUUUAAGCAUAAGGUUGUGUGUUAGGUUCAGGUAAUUGUAUGUUUUCCAGUUCACUUUAGUAGGUGCAUGCUCACAGUUCCAGAAACAACAUGAGGUCUUAUGAAUAUUUCAUGUUUCUAUGUAUAAUGAAAAUAAUAAGCCUUCAUCCAUUCUUAUAUAUACUCUUUGAUCUUGUGGUGUUUGUGCAGGUCCAGAACAUCUGCACUAAAACACCUAAAAAGAAGUCCUACAAAGAUUUGGUUAGUUGCUUCAUGCUUUCUCUAUUCCUCUCUUAAUACUUAGCUCUAUUUGAUUGAUCUGUGCUAUACUGCUAUGUGCUAUUUUUUAUUUUUGUAUCUCAACUUAAUCUUUGAGAACUGCAUGUACCACUAUUUCUGUAUUUUUAUUAAUUUUGUUCAUACUGCUAUGUUCGAUCUGUGCUAUAGAGCUAUGGUAGGACAAGGGUCUCAUUCUAUUUGCUGAAACAUCCCAGCAACAAUUUCCAUGUCCAUAGUACAGUUAUUGAUUGGUGACUUAUGGCCACCAAAAUAUUCAUCCAUGUUAGUUGUAAUUGCACUCUUAGAUGUGCCUCCACUGCAUCCACUACUACUCUAUAUGAUAGUCUCAACUCUGACCCUCUUGACCCUCGACAUGAGUGUCUUGCUUAAAUGGUUUUUUUAGAUGCAACUGUGGUCCUCUUGUUACCUCUAGAAUGUGUAUUUGUACUGCUGUAGAAAAACACCUCAUCAGACUAUUUCCAAUGUUGGUGUAUAUUUACUUGAACCAGUGUUCUCUCAUGGUCAACUACAUCAUCUACCGUGCCUAUUUUUCUAGGACUCUUAAUGCCAUCAGGCUGGCAUUUUGUUCAACUCAUUAGCUGGUUACAGUAACAAGGAACCACCAUUUUGAUGCAAAGGAGCAGAUGCGACAGGAUCACAAGUAGAAGGAGCGGCGACGAUGCUGUAGCGAGAGACACGGGUGCCGAGGUUGUUGUGCUGCGGUGGUGGCAGGACAGAAAGGAAACGAAAAAGCAGGAGCCAGGGCUGUUCAACAACGUGACCGAGUCGCUGAGGCGAGGAAGAGUAAGGUGAAGGCACUCGUUGACGCCUUUGAGACUGACAGAGCGUCAUCUCGCUGCAGGAAACCAGCAAGCCUGCUGCUGCUCCAGCUAUGGAAGUAGGUGUCGUGCCAUGAGUGCUUCUUGACCUGCAGUGUGCAUGAUCACACCUUUCUUGGAAUUUUGGACUUUUUUUGGUUGUUAGUGACCAUAAAAGUGGUGCUUGUUGAGGUUUGCUCGUUCCCAUGUAAACUGAUUUUCUCAUAGGAGUUUCCAUACUUUUGUAGUGCUACGAAAAAAGGAAAGUCUGUACAGGUUUUGUGUCUAUGAAAGGCUUGAGAAGUUGGCAUUGUACUGAUAAGUGAUAAGUAAACAAGUUAUUGUAAUGAUUUAAACUAGAUUGUUUUGAAAGGAAA